UACGUAGGGUGCGAGCGUUGUCCGGAAUUACUGGGCGUAAAGAGCUCGUAGGUGGUUUGUCGCGUUGUUCGUGAAAACUCACAGCUUAACUGUGGGCGUGCGGGCGAUACGGGCAGACUUGAGUACUGCAGGGGAGACUGGAAUUCCUGGUGUAGCGGUGGAAUGCGCAGAUAUCAGGAGGAACACCGGUGGCGAAGGCGGGUCUCUGGGCAGUAACUGACGCUGGAGGAGCGAAAGCCGUGGGGAGCGAACAGG
rnacentral:rRNA from 1 species